UUGAAACAACUCUUCUCGUAAGAUCCCCGAAGUUAAGCAACGUCGAGAUUGGUCAGUACCUAGAUGUGUGACCACUUAGGAAUACCAGGUACUGUAAG